GUCAAAUCAUCAUGCCCCUUAUGCCCUGGGCUACACACGUAAUACAAUGGCGCCUAACAGAGGGAGGCGAGGCCGCGAGGCGGAGCGAAUCCCGAAAAGGCGCCCCAGUUCGGAUUGUAGUCUGCAACCCGACUACAUGAAGCCGGAAUCGCUAGUAAUCGCGGAUCAGCCAAGCCGCGGUGAAUACGUUCCCGGGCCUU
rnacentral:rRNA from 1 species